GUUGGUUCAAAGACUCGUGGUGAUGAUGGAUCCUGGCUGCCCUACUUCAUGAUCUGCAUUAGCAUAGUACUCCUGGUGACCACAGCAAUAGUGUUGACCCAUGUGUGCUGUUAUAGCUGGAAACGAACAUGGACCUGCAAUCAACAAAAGCAAGAGGAAAAAUCUUCACAUAUGAUACCAGAACUUCCCAAGAUGAGCGACCAGUUUUCUCCCAUCCUGCAAACUCAAUUCUCAGCUGUGAAUGACAUCCACUCUUUCAGUAAAGGAGAAACAACAACUUCAAUGUUACCUGCUUCUGUUCACAUUGAGAACAGGUCUGCAGAAAUUCCAGCAUCUAACAGUGAAGAGUAUGCUAUAAUCAACCACCAACAUCCUGGGAUAUCAACCAGAAAGUACAUAUGUAAACAGGAGGAAAAAUCGAAUUAUGCUGUGAUAAAUGUGUCUUGAAGUUCAACAUUUUUUUUCUUUGUCAAAAGACCUGAGAAUCCUCUAUAAUUGUGCAGAGGCGUUAUGGAACAGAUGUUGGGUAGAUGAAACGGCAGAAAGAAGGUUGUGGUCGUAAUGCUUUUACAUCUGAAGUAGUCAGGUGAGGCAGCAGUUAGUUUGACCCGUUUUUUCCUCUUUGAUUCAUUUUGUUAUAUUUUUAACAGUUGUGUGAUUUGAAACC